GAGGGCUAUCACAAAUUUUCGAGUUUUAUACGAGUUUUGAUGCGUCAUUAUGCUUUGGAUAUAGUCACAAAAAAAAAACAAAAAUAAGAUUAAGAAAGUUUGAUCAUUUAUCUUGGGGCUGUUUUCAAUAAAUAUUUUAAUUUGUCCACGUACAUCAGUAAAAUCUUUGUCUCUGCAAAGGAUGUUUCAUAAAAUGUUGCUUUUGGGGAUCUUUUGAUGCUUCAGUACUCCGAGGAUAUAGCAAUUUAACCAUUUAUAAAAAUGUUCAAGAUACAACUAUAUCUUGUACUUGUGCUUGCUUACACCAAUUUAUUACAAUUCAUACAGUAAUACACCAAAAAAAAAUCUAUAAAACUGAGAGUUACUGACAAUUUUCCGUACAAAACUAUAUUUUUUAUCUAUGAAAGUAUAAUCCAAAUUCAAAUAAAAAAUAUUUAAUAAUUAAGGUGGUAUUGUUAUAAAGCUUGAAAAAAAAAUUGCCUAUUUAAAAGUAAAACAAUAUUUUAAAAUAAUUUUUGUUUGCAAUGCAAAGAAUCAAUAUAAAUCUUGUGACGCGCGGUGUUCAACUUUAGUCAGCGCCAAGCGCUUACCGAGGAGGGACGUAUCGCUCGCUGUUGCGCCGCGUAAACUCGCCGGAGUUCGAAAAAUAUAGCGCAACCUACGCAUCUAACACGUUUUGAUACUAGAAAAUGAAGAUACAAUACAUGGAAGACGAAUUAUAGAUUUUAGUUUUUUUAUAAAUCAAUUACUUAUACCUAAUUGAUAAACAUGGUGAAAAGUUUGGUUGUCGAUUAAAUAAUUUAAAAAUUGUAAA